rnacentral:rRNA from 1 species
AAGCCCCGCAAGGGGCAAGUAGAGUGGCAAACGGGUGAGUAACGCGUGGGUGACCUGCCUUCAAGCGGGGGAUAACGUCCCGAAAGGGACGCUAAUACCGCAUAACAUCCUGCCUUUGAAGAGGCGGAGAUCAAAGCCGGGGAUCGUAAGACCCGGCACUUGAAGAGGGGCUCGCGUCUGAUUAGCUAGUUGGUGGGGUAAUGGCCUACCAAGGCAACGAUCAGUAUCCGGCCUGAGAGGGCGGACGGACACACUGGGACUGAGACACGGCCCAGACUCCUACGGGAGGCAGCAGUGGGGAAUUGUUCGCAAUGGGCGCAAGCCUGACGACGCAACGCCGCGUGGAGGAUGAAGAUUUUCGGA